CCUACGGGUGACAGCAGUGAGGAAUAUUGGUCAAUGGGCGAGAGCCUGAACCAGCCAAGUCGCGUGAGGGAGUACUGCCCUAUGGGUUGUAAACCUCUUUUGUCGGGGAGCAAAAGCCGGGCGUUUCCGGCUGUUAGAUUACCCGAAUAAACAGCAUCGGCUAACUCCGUGCCAGCAGCCGCGGUAAUACGGAGGAUGCGAGCGUUAUCCGGAUUUAUUGGGUUUAAAGGGUGCGCAGGCGGAAUGCCAAGUCAGCGGUAAAAUCGCGGGGCUCAACCUCGCUCCGCCGUUGAAACUGGCGGGAUGGAGUGGGCGAGAAGUAGGCGGAAUGCGUGGUGUAGCGGUGAAAUGCAUAGAUAUCACGCAGAACUCCGAUUGCGAAGGCAGCAUACCGGCGCCAAACUGACGCUGAAGCACGAAAGCGUGGGUAUCGAACAGGAUUAGAUACCCUAGUAGUC
rnacentral:rRNA from 1 species